rnacentral:lncRNA from 1 species
UUUUAAAUUUUAGUUUCUUUUGUAUAAUUCGGAGUUUAGUAUGACGUCCAUUAUCACUGUACUAUUAUGCAUAUUUUAGGGGCCAGCUGAAGGACACCUACGGGUGCGGGAAUUCUCGCUACAUUGAAGACCCAUUGGUUGCCUUCGGCUGUUGUUUGCUCUAUGGUCGGGUGGUUGUCGCUUUGACAUAUUCACCAUUUCCUUUCUCAAUUUUAUAUAUA